rnacentral:rRNA from 1 species
UACGGGGGGUGCAAGCGUUGUCCGGAAUCAUUGGGCGUAAAGCGUUCGUAGGCGGCAAGGUAAGUCUGAUGUUAAAGCCCGGGGCUCAACCCCGGCGAGCCGUUGAAACUGGCGGGCUGGAGUUGGAGAGAAGUACGCGGAAUGCGCGGUGUAGCGGUGAAAUGCUUAGAUAUCGCGCAGAACCCCGAUUGCGAAGGCAGCGUACCGGCUCCACACUGACGCUGAGGCACGAAAGCGUGGGUAUCGAACAGG